rnacentral:rRNA from 1 species
GAUGAACGCUGGCGGCGUGCCUAAUACAUGCAAGUCGAGCGAACAGACGAGGAGCUUGCUCCUUUGACGUUAGCGGCGGACGGGUGAGUAACACGUGGAUAACCUACCUAUUAGACUGGGAUAACUUCGGGAAACCGGAGCUAAUACCGGAUAAUAUGUUGAACCGCAUGGUUCAACAGUGAAAGACGGUCUUGCUGUCACUUAUAGAUGGAUCCGCGCCGCAUUAGCUAGUUGGUAAGGUAACGGCUUACCAAGGCAACGAUGCGUAGCCGACCUGAGAGGGUGAUCGGCCACACUGGAACUGAGACACGGUCCAGACUCCUACGGGAGGCAGCAGUAGGGAAUCUUCCGCGAUGGGCGAAAGCCUGACGGAGCAACACCGCGUGAGUGAAGAAGGUCUUCUGAUCGUAAAACUCUGUUAUUAGGAAAGAACAAAUGCGUGAGUAACUAUGCACGUCUUGACGGUACCUAAUCAGAAAGCCACGGCUAACUACGUG